rnacentral:rRNA from 1 species
UACGGAGGGUGCAAGCGUUAUCCGGAUUCACUGGGUUUAAAGGGAGCGUAGGUGGGCUGGUAAGUCAGUGGUGAAAUCUCCGGGCUUAACUCGGAAACUGCCGUUGAUACUAUCAGUCUUGAAUAUUGUGGAGGUAAGCGGAAUAUGUCAUGUAGCGGUGAAAUGCUUAGAUAUGACAUAGAACACCGAUAGCGAAGGCAGCUUGCUACACAAUUAUUGACACUGAGGCUUGAAAGCGUGGGGAUCAAACAGG